rnacentral:tRNA from 1 species
GGGGGUGUAACUCAAUGCUAGAGUACUUGCCUAGCAUGCAUGAGACCCUGGGUUCCACCCCCA